rnacentral:rRNA from 1 species
UAAAAAGCCAACGCGUCUCUUUAUUGGGACGGUUGCUUGGUGAGUCAUAACAACUGUUCGAAGCGCAUGGCUUUUUAUGCCGGCGCUAGGUCAUUCAAAUUUCUGCCCUAUCAGCUUUCGAUGGUAGUGUAGUGGACUACCAUGGCGUUAACGGGUAACGGAGAAUUAGGGUUCGAUUCCGGAGAGGGAGCCUGAGAAACGGCUACCACAUCUAAGGAUGGCAGCAGGCGCGCAAAUUACCCAAUCCUGAUUCAGGGAGGUAGUGACAAGAUAUAACAAUACCGGGCAUUUUCAUGUCUGGUAAUUGGAAUGAGUACAACUUAAAAACCUUAACGAUUAGCAAGUGGAGGGCAAGUCUGGUGCCAGCAGCCGCGGUAACACCAGCUCCACUAGCGUAUAUGUCCUUUGUUGUGGUUAAAAAGCUCGUAGUUGGAUUUCUGGCAUGGUUCGCCUGACCCGGGCUCCUAAGUGGGCUUCGUGCGUCGGUUCGCGAAUCGGUCAUCCUUGCCGAGAGUGGCUGUGCCCUUAACUGGGUGGCGGUCAGGAUCGGGAACGUUUACUUUGAAAAAAUUAGAG